AACAGCUAUAUUCUAUAAGCUGCUACCAAAGAGAGAAACAUCAUCCUCUCUAGACUGCCGUGGAGUC
rnacentral:sRNA from 1 species